rnacentral:tRNA from 6 species
GGCGAGGUAGCUCAGGUGGUUAGAGCGCAGGAUUCAUAACCCUGAGGUCGGGAGUUCAAGUCUCCCUCUCGCUACAA